GAUAAACGCUUGCGGCGUGCAUCAAACAUGCAAGUCGAACGCUCCGCCUUCGGGCGGGGAGUGGCGCACGGCUGAGGAACACGUCGGUAACCUGUCCCGCAGUGGGGAAUACCCCCCCGAAGGGGGUUCAAUUCCGCAUCCGGCGCAGCCUCGUAGGAGGGUGCGCGAAAGCCGCAAGGCGCUGAGGGGAGGGGCCGGCGGGCGAUUAGGCAGGUUGGGGGGGUAAGAGCUUCCCAAACCGAUGAUCGCAGCGGGUCUGAGAGGAUGACCCGCCAGACUGGGACGGAGGAACGGCCCAGACACCUACGGGUGGCAGCAGUUGGGAAUUUUGCGCACUGGACGAAAGUCUGACGCAGCAACGCCG
rnacentral:rRNA from 1 species